AGAAAAAUUAAUAAAGAUUUCUAAUCUUCUACUAGCCGGGGGCUUUUUUCUU
rnacentral:tRNA from 1 species